rnacentral:rRNA from 1 species
CAAUAGCGUAUAUUAAUGUUGUUGCAGUUAAAAAGCUCGUAGUUGGAUUUCUGGUGGAAGCGACCGGUCCGCCCCUCACGGGGUGUGCACUAGCGUCUGUCUUUUGCCAUCCUUGCGAAGAAGCGGGGUGGCAUUAAGUUGUCGCGCCGUCUGACUCGCAUCGUUUACUGUGAAAAAAUUAGAGUGUUUAAAGCAGGCAAUUGCUGUGAAUACAUUAGCAUGGAAUAAUAAGAUAGGACUUUGGUACUAUUUUGUUGGUUUGCAUAUCAAAGUAAUGAUUAACAGGGACAGUUGGGGGUAUUCGUAUUUCGUUGUCAGAGGUGAAAUUCUUGGAUUUAUGAAAGACGAACUACUGCGAAAGCAUUUACCAAGGAUGUUUUCAUUAA